rnacentral:rRNA from 1 species
GGAGCGAGCGUUGUCCGGAUUUACUGGGUGUAAAGGGUGCGUAGGCGGCUAUGCAAGUCAGUAGUGAAAUCCAUGGGCUUAACCCAUGAACUGCUAUUGAAACUGCACAGCUUGAGUGAAGUAGAGGUAGGCGGAAUUCCCGGUGUAGCGGUGAAAUGCGUAGAGAUCGGGAGGAACACCAGUGGCGAAGGCGGCCUGCUGGGCUUUAACUGACGCUGAAGCACGAAAGCGUGGGUAGCAAAC